rnacentral:rRNA from 1 species
UACAGAGGUGGCAAGCGUUGUUCGGAAUUACUGGGCGUAAAGGGCGCGUAGGCGGUUCUACAAGUCCCGCGUGAAAGCCCCCGGCUCAACUGGGGAACUGCGCGGGAAACUGUAGGGCUUGAGUUCGGGAGAGGGAAGCGGAAUUCCGGGUGUAGCGGUGAAAUGCGCAGAUAUCGGGAGGAACACCAAUGGCGAAGGCAGCUCGCUGGGACGUUACUGACGCUGAGACGCGAAAGCGUGGGGAGCAAACAGGG